rnacentral:rRNA from 1 species
GCUUGGGCGGCAGCUACACAUGCAGUCGAGCGGCAGCACGGGGAGCUUGCUCCCUGGUGGCGAGCGGCGGACGGGUGAGUAAUGCAUAGGAAUCUGCCCGGUAGUGGGGGAUAACGUGGGGAAACCCACGCUAAUACCGCAUACGUCCUACGGGAGAAAGCAGGGGAUCUUCGGACCUUGCGCUAUCGGAUGAGCCUAUGUCGGAUUAGCUAGUUGGUAAGGUAACGGCUUACCAAGGCAACGAUCCGUAGCUGGUCUGAGAGGAUGAUCAGCCACACUGGGACUGAGACACGGCCCAGACUCCUACGGGAGGCAGCAGUGGGGAAUAUUGGACAAUGGGCGAAAGCCUGAUCCAGCCAUGCCGCGUGUGUGAAGAAGGCUUUCGGGUUGUAAAGCACUUUCAGCGAGGAAGAAAGCCUCUGGGCCAAUACCCCAGAGGAAGGACAUCACUCGCAGAAGAAGCACCGGCUAACUCCGUGCCAGCAGCCGCGGUAAUACGGAGGGUGCGAGCGUUAAUCGGAAUUACUGGGCGUAAAGCGCGCGUAGGUGGCUUGGCACGCCGGUUGUGAAAGCCCCGGGCUCAACCUGGGAACUGCAUCCGGAACGGCCAGGCUAGAGUGCAGGAGAGGAAGGUAGAAUUCCCGGUGUAGCGGUGAAAUGCGUAGAGAUCGGGAGGAAUACCAGUGGCGAAGGCGGCCUUCUGGCCUGACACUGACACUGAGGUGCGAAAGCGUGGGUAGCAAACAGGAUUAGAUACCCUGGUAGUCCACGCCGUAAACGAUGUCGACUAGCCGUUGGGACCUUUAAGGACUUAGUGGCGCAGUUAACGCGAUAAGUCGACCGCCUGGGGAGUACGGCCGCAAGGUUAAAACUCAAAUGAAUUGACGGGGGCCCGCACAAGCGGUGGAGCAUGUGGUUUAAUUCGAUGCAACGCGAAGAACCUUACCUACCCUUGACAUCCAGAGAAG